UACAGAGGUCUCGAGCGUUGUUCGGAUUCAUUGGGCGUAAAGGGUGCGUAGGUGGCGCUGUAAGUCGGGUGUGAAAUCCCUGGGGCUUAACCCCGGAACUGCAUUCGAUACUGCAGUGCUUGAGGACUGGAGAGGAGACUGGAAUUCCUGGUGUAGCGGUGGAAUGCGCAGAGUAUCAGGAGGAACACCGGUGGCGAAGGCGGGUCUCUGGGCAGUAACUGACGCUGGAGGAGCGAAAGCGUGGGGAGCGAACAGG
rnacentral:rRNA from 1 species